UUUUAAAACUAACCCAACGUUAAGUUCAACUAAAACAAAAACAUAAAACUUUCAACAACGGAUCUCUUGGUUCUCGCAUCGAUGAAGAACGCAGCGAAAUGCGAUACGUAGUAUGACUUGCAGACGUGAAUCAUCGAAUCUUUGAACGCACAUUGCGCCUUGGGGUAUUCCCCAAGGCAUGCCUGUUUGAGCGUGAUGUCUUCUCACCAAUCUUCGCGGUGGCGUUGCAUUCACAAAAUUACAGCUUGCACGAAAAAAAUCUACGCUUUUUUUUUCGUUUUGUUGUCGCCUCAAAUCAGGUAGGACUACCCGCUGAACUUAAGCAUAU
rnacentral:misc_RNA from 1 species